GAGAAAGAGAAAAGGGAGGGUGCGAGAACUGGAGCGGAAGAAGAGAGAGGGAGGGGUAUCAUCAAGACGGUCCGAGCGCGGCGAGGGGGUAGGACGGGCGCUCAGCUCCGCGACAGGGGUUUUCCCUUGGUAACGGACCAAACGACCGAGUCAAGCAGCCGUGGGCUGUAUGGUGGUGAGGGAUGGAUGAUGUAGCUGCCCCACUUCCUACUUGCACUCUUGUUUACUGGAAAAAUGGAUGGGAGAUCUGUGGAGGCGGUAAAGCGAGGAGUUCUAACUCUGUACAUGUUAUCAUUAUCUUCAUUUUCCAAGUGGGGAAACUGAGGCUCAGAGGCAUUAAGAAGUUGUCCAACAAAACACAACUAAGCAGAAGAGCAGAGGUUUGAUCCCAGAACCAAGGUAUUAUGAGGAUUAAGUCAAUCAAGAUGUCCAGACAAAUGCCAGCAGCUCGGAAGUGAGGUCUGGGCUGGAGAUGGAACAGAGAGCCAGCACCAAGGAGAAGCUGUGGUUGAGGCUGGAGCCUCAGAGCACUCAAGCCUGCAGGGGCAAGUGAAGGGGACAGCCCUGAGGAGGCAAUGAAGACUUUAAUACUAAUAUUUCCAAUGGUUUCAGGGCUAGGCUGUCGAGAUCCAGCAAAGAAAGGAGCUAAUGAGAAAUACCUUGCUUCACACACCUGCCCACCUAUCCGUGGUGUUUCAUAUAACUUAAGUGUCAGUACAUUCAAUGAAACAUUUAAUGACCUAAACUUCAAUUGCUAUAAAUAGCAAUACUCCUGUCCAGCAUAAAAUAAGGCAUGAUUAAUGCUGAAGGAAAUGCUGACCAAGGGCAAUGGGGGUUUAUAAUCAUAGGGGACAAGAGUGGAGUACAUUUUCUUUGAUAAGUACAGUAAAGUAUAUAAAUGUA